CUGGUUGAUCCUGCCAGUAAUCAUAUGCUUGUCUCAAAGAUUAAGCCAUGCAUGUCUACGUACACACUCUAGCACGGUGAAACUGCGAAUGGCUCAUUAGAUCAGUUAUGGUUCCUUAGACGAUACGAUCCUACUUGGAUAACUGUGGUAAUUCUAGAGCUAAUACAUGCACAGAAGCUCCGACCCUCUCGCGAGGGAGGGUGAGAGCGCGUUUAUCAGUCCAACAGACCAGUCGGGCCGCAAGGUCCGUCCUUUUUGGUGACUCUGGAUAACCCUUGCCGAUCGCACGGCCACGAGCCGGCGACGCGUCUAUCAAGUGUCUGCCCUAUCACACUUUCGAUGGUAAGAGAUGUGCCUACCAUGGUGACAACGGGUAACGGGGAAUCAGGGUUCGAUUACGGAGAGGGAGCCUGAGAAACGGCUACCACAUCCAAGGAAGGCAGCAGGCGCGCAAAUUACCCAAUCUCGACACGAGGAGGUAGUGACGAAAAAUAACAAUACGGGACUCUUUCGAGGCCCCGUAAUUGGAAUGAGUGCACUCUAAACGUGUGCACGAGGAUCUAUUGGAGGGCAAGUCUGGUGCCAGCAGCCGCGGUAAUUCCAGCUCCAAUAGCGUAUAUUAAAGUUGUUGUGGUUAAAAAGCUCGUAGUUGGAUCUCAGGGUCGUUCGCGUCGGUCCCUAUGCUUCAAUGGCUCGGGUACUGCGCGGUGUCGUCCCCCUUGCCAGACCUCUCAAAAAGGUUGCUCUUGACUGAGUGGCCUGCUCGAGUGGCUGGAGAGUUUACUUUGAAAAAAUUAGAGUGUUCAAAGCAGGCACUSCCGCCUGUAUAAUGGUGCAUGGAAUAAUGGAAUAGGACCCCGGAUCCUAUUUUGCUGGUUUUUGGAGCUCAGGGGUAAUGAUUAAGAGGAACAGGGCGGGGGCAUCCGUAUUACGGCGUUAGAGGUGAAAUUCUUGGAUCGUCGUAAGAGCCCUACAGCGAAAGCAUUUGCCAAGUAUGUUUUCAUUAAUCAAGAACGAAAGUCAGAGGUUCGAAGACGAUCAGAUACCGUCGUAGUUCUGACCGUAAACUAUGCCAACUGGCAGCCCGUCGGCGUUGCUCUAUUCGACUCGGCGGGAGGCCUACCGAAAACGAAAGUCUUCGGGUUCCAGGGGAAGUAUGGUUGCAAAGCUGAAACUUAAAGGAAUUGACGG
rnacentral:rRNA from 1 species